GUUUUACAGGAAGUAAAUAAAUCCUUAUGGUAUUCUGGGAACCUCAGAACUAUAUGAGAGUGUGGUGUUGUGGAUCUCUCAUGGAGGUUGUACUAGGUGGAGCUGAAUAAAAGAGUCCUUCCUGCCCUGGCCCAGAAAGUGACCAUCUUCACUGAACACUGUUGCCUCCUACUGCAACGAGAAGAUAAAAGCCGCAAGAUGUGAACCACUA
rnacentral:lncRNA from 1 species